UCGAGGAGGAGAAGAGCGGCAAAUCCAGCUGCACUAACUUGGGAGAAAGAGGCUUGUUGAAGGGACAGAAAUGGAUCCAAAAUGGACUUUGUCUCUCCUUGCUGCCAUCCUUCACACAGUGGCCAGUGCCCCAGAGUCUGUGUUUGCUCUAGAGGGAAACUCUGUCACCCUGAUCAUGCA